rnacentral:rRNA from 1 species
AUUGAACGCUGGCGGCAUGCUUUACACAUGCAAGUCGAACGGUAACAGGCCGCAAGGUGCUGACGAGUGGCGGACGGGUGAGUAAUGCAUCGGAACGUGCCCAGCCGUGGGGGAUAACUAAUCGAAAGAGUAGCUAAUACCGCAUACGAUCGAUGGAUGAAAGCGGGGGACCGUAAGGCCUCGCGCGAUUGGAUGGGCCUAUGUCAGAGUAGGUAGUUGGUGGGGUAACGGCUCACCAAGCCAACGACUUUUAGCGGGUCUGAGAGGACGACCAGCCACACUGGGACUGAGACACGACCCAGACUCCUACGGGCGGCAGAAGUGGGGAAUUUUGGACAAUGGGCGCAAGCCUGAUCCAGCAAUGCCGCGUGCAGGAAGAAGGCCUUCGGGUGGUAAACUGCUUUUGUACGGAACGAAACGGCUCUGGUUAAUACCCGGGGCUAAUGACGGUACCGUAAGAAUAAGCACCGGCUAACUACGU